rnacentral:rRNA from 1 species
AUUGAACGCUGGCGGCAGGCCUAACACAUGCAAGUCGAGCGAGCGGCGGACGGGUGCGUAAUGUCUGGGAACCUGCCUGAUGGCGGGGGAUAACUACUGGAUACGGUAUCUAAUACCGCAUACCAUCAGAUGUGCCCAGAUGGGAUGAGCUAGUAGGUGGGUUAACGGCUCACCUAGGCGACGAUCCCUAGCUGGUCUGAGAGGAUGACCAGCCACAUUGGGACUGAGAAACGGGCCAGACUCCUACGGGAGGCAGCAGUGGGGAAUAUUGCACAAGGGGCGAAAGCCUGACGCAGCAAUGCCGCGUGAGUGAAGAAGGUCUUCGGGUUGUAAAGCACUUUCAGCGGGGAGGCGUUACCCGAAGAGGAAGCAACGGCUAACUCCGUGCCAGCAGCCGCGGUAAUAC